rnacentral:rRNA from 1 species
UACGGGGGGGAGCAAGCGUUGUUCGGAUUUACUGGGCGUAAAGGGCGCGUAGGCGGCCAGCACAAGUCAGUUGUGAAAUCUCCGAGCUUAACUCGGAAAGGUCAACUGAUACUGUGCGGCUAGAGUGCGGAAGGGGCAACUGGAAUUCCUGGUGUAGCGGUGAAAUGCGCAGAUAUCAGGAGGAACACCAAUGGCGAAGGCAGCUCGCUGGGACGUGACUGACGCUGAGACGCGAAAGCGUGGGGAGCAAACAGG